rnacentral:misc_RNA from 1 species
UCUCCGUUGGUGAACCAGCGGAGGGAUCAUUACAGAGUUGCAAAACUCCCAACCCUUUGUGAACGAACCUACCAGUUGCUUCGGCGGAAGGCCCUUCAGGGGGCGGCCCGCCGAAGGUCUACAAACUCUUGAUUUUUUGGCAUCUCUGAGUAGCUUAUAAAAUAAGUUAAAACUUUCAACAACGGAUCUCUUGGUCCUG